rnacentral:rRNA from 1 species
CCCGGCGACCGGCGCGCGGGUGAGUAACACGUAUGAAACCUGCCCGUAGCAGGGGGAUAAGCGGAAGAAAUUCCGUCUAAUACCGCGUAACAACCCAUGGAGGCAUCUCUGUGGGUUUAAAGGAAGCGAUUCCGGCUACGGAUGGUCAUGCGUCGCAUUAGCUUGUUGGCGGGGUAACGGCCCACCAAGGCGACGAUGCGUAGGGGUUCUGAGAGGAAGGUCCCCCACACUGGUACUGAGACACGGACCAGACUCCUACGGAAGGCAGCAG